CCGGCUUUAGCUCAGUUGGUAGAGCGGAGGACUGUAGUGAUCCUUAGGUCGCUGGUUCGAAUCCGGCAAGCCGGA
rnacentral:tRNA from 1 species